rnacentral:rRNA from 1 species
UUAAGACUUUAUAGGAAACAAAAAGGCAUCUUUUUGUUUUUAAAAGACCUUCUUACGAAGGUAUGCUUAAAGAGGGGCUUGCGCCACAUUAGUUAGUUGGUAGAGUAAAAGCCUACCAAGACGAUGAUGUGUAGCUGGACUGAGAGGUUGAACAGCCACAUUGGGACUGAGACACGGCCCAAACUCCUACGGGAGGCAGCAGUAGGGAAUUUUCGGCAAUGGAGGAAACUCUGACCGAGCAACGCCGCGUGAACGAUGAAGUAUUUCGGUAUGUAAAGUUCUUUUAUUGAAGAAGAAAAAGUAGUGGAAAAACUAUAUUGACGUUAUUCAAUGAAUAAGCCCCGGCUAACUAUGUGCCAGCAGCCGCGGUAAGACAUAGGGGGCGAGCGUUAUCCGGAAUUAUUGGGCGUAAAGGGUGCGUAGGCUGUUAGAUAAGUCUAUAAUUUAAUUUCAGUGCUUAACGCUGUCUUGUUAUAGAAACUGUCUUGACUAGAGUGAGAUAGAGGCAAGCGGAAUUCCAUGUGUAGCGGUAAAAUGUGUAAAUAUAUGGAGGAACACCAGAAGCGUAGGCGGCUUGCUGGGUCUUUACUGACGCUGAGGCACGAAAGCGUGGGUAGCAAACAGGAUUAGAUACCCUGGUAGUCCACGCCGUAAACGAUGAGUACUAAGUGUCGGGGUAAAACUCGGUACUGAAGUUAACACAUUAAGUACUCCGCCUGAGUAGUACGUACGCAAGUAUGAAACUUAAAGGAAUUGACGGGACUCCGCACAAGCGGUGGAUCAUGUUGUUUAAUUCGAAGAUACACGAAAAAUCUUACCAGGUCUUGACAUACUCUGCAAAGCUAUAGAAAUAUAGUGGAGGUUAUCAGGGAUACAGGUGGUGCAUGGUUGUCGUCAGUUCGUGUCGUGAGAUGUUAGGUUAAGUCCUAAAACGAACGCAACCCUUGUCGUUAAUUGCCAGCACAUAAUGGUGGGGACUUUAACGAGACUGCCAAUUAAACAUUGGAGGAAGGUGAGGAUUACGUCAAAUCAUCAUGCCCCUUAUGAUCUGGGCUACAAACGUGAUACAAUGGCUGUGACAAAGAGUAGCUGAAACGCGAGUUUUUAGCCAAUCUCAAAAAAGCAGUCUCAGUUCGGAUUGAAGUCUGUAACUCGACUUCAUGAAGUUGGAAUCGCUAGUAAUCGCGAAUCAGCAUGUCGCGGUGAAUACGUUCUCGGGGUUUGUACACACCGCCCGUCAAACCACGAAAGUUAGCAAUGCCCGAAAGCAGUAGCUUAACUUCGCAAGAAGAGGGAACUGUCUAUUUGUACUCCCUGAUGAGUUGUGGAUCUGUCCUACCCAGCCCCACGUCCCCUA